AGGCCGAUGAUGCUAAACAUGCACCUACGGUCUAGACCUUUUUUUUUUUGCGUGGAACCUACGGUCUAGACCUGUAGGGAUGAUAUCCUAUCCUAAGACAGCUAUGGCCC
rnacentral:snoRNA from 1 species